UACGUAGGGCGCAAGCGUUGUCCGGAAUCAUUGGGCGUAAAGAGCUCGUAGGCGGCCUGUUGCGUCCGCUGUGAAAUCCCGGGGCUUAACCCCGGGCGUACAGUGGAUACGGGCUGGCUGGAGGCAGGCAGGGGAGAACGGAAUUCCCGGUGUAGCGGUGAAAUGCGCAGAUAUCGGGAGGAACACCGGUGGCGAAGGCGGUUCUCUGGGCCUGUACUGACGCUGAGGAGCGAAAGCGUGGGGAGCGAACAGG
rnacentral:rRNA from 1 species